CAUUUAUAAUAAAACGAUAAUAAAUAUAGUUAAUUAUUGGUUCAUACUCUCCCAAAAACUCUCUCAUGAACCAUUGUGUGUUUUCUCACUCAUUGCUUCCAAUCGGUUCUCACAAUCAUUAUUUCCUUUGAAAUCAAGAAUCAAAAAACCAUUAGCAUCACAAUCUCUUCCUCUCUUUCUUUGGAUCGUGAUUUAUUCUCCUUCAAACCUUUCUCAAUCUCAAUCUAGUUCUAGGGUUUGAUUAUUCUCGAUUCUGAUUGUUUCAUUUUUGUUUUAUGCUUGUUCCGAUUUCUUUUUAAUUUUGUUCCAAAAAGUUACUUGCAGAAGAAGAGUAGCAAUAUUCUAAUCUGAUCGUAGUGUACGUGAGUGAUUGAAUCAGAAUUGCGAUGAGAAGGGGAAAAUUUAAGAGGAAGCCCACCGGUAGCUACCAGUUCUCCAUGCCGGAAGAUCUCUGUAAGCAUCGCAUGUUCUCACUCUCACUCUCAGUGCUCUGAAUCUCUCCAUCUUGUUCUAUCUCCUUCUCAAUCUCUCAGCACUUUGAAUCUCUGGAUCUCAUUUUGCCUCCUCAAUCACUUUCUACUUGUGAAUCUGCACCUUUAUUUUUGCCCUUUCUAUGAUUGAAGGUGUUGAAGCAGGGCUAGGACUGCUUGAACUAAGAUAUUGAGGGGAAGAGAAUUUCGGUCCCUUGAAGAAUAAGAUUACACAAGAGGCUAUAGCACCAAGGCGGAUAUUCUACGAUGAUUUAGUCGCUACCGAGGCGGUUCGGACAUUGCGAAUCGCCAUUAUUGGGUUGUAGAUUCUGUUACUAUUUUUUCUGUUUACCAUGUUCUUAAAUGGCUGCUUCAUUAUGUUCUUCAUGCCGAUCGAACAAUGACAAAUAGAAAAGAUCCAAAUGAAUAAUCUAUUCUGCUUAUUUUAUCUAGUUGUUAAAAUGAUAAAAUAAAGAUUAGUAGUGCUUAAUUUA